rnacentral:rRNA from 1 species
CGGCCGCGUCGACAUCUUAGUGGCGCAGCUAACGCAUUAAGUCGACCGCCUGGGGAGUACGGCCGCAAGGUUAAAACUCAAAUGAAUUGACGGGGGCCCGCACAAGCGGUGGAGCAUGUGGUUUAAUUCGAAGCAACGCGAAGAACCUUACCAGGCCUUGACAUGUUCUCGAUCGCCGUAGAGAUACGGUUUCCCCUUUGGGGCGGGUUCACAGGUGGUGCAUGGUUGUCGUCAGCUCGUGUCGUGAGAUGUUGGGUUAAGUCCCGCAACGAGCGCAACCCUCGUUCCAUGUUGCCAGCACGUCGUGGUGGGGACUCAUGGGUCGACGCGGCC